rnacentral:rRNA from 1 species
AAUAGAUACCCCGGUAGUCCACGCCGUAAACGAUGAGUGCUAAGUGUUAGGGGGUUUCCGCCCCUUAGUGCUGCAGCUAACGCAUUAAGCACUCCGCCUGGAGAGUACGGUCGCAAGACUGAAACUCAAAGGAAUUGACGGGGGCCCGCACAAGCGGUGGAGCAUGUGGUUUAAUUCGAAGCAACGCGAAGAACCUUACCAGGUCUUGACAUCCCACUGACCGCUAUGGAGACAUAGUUUUCCCUUCGGGGACAGUGGUGACAGGUGGUGCAUGGUUGUCGUCAGCUCGUGUCGUGAGAUGUUGGGUUAAGUCCCGCAACGAGCGCAACCCUUGAUCUUAGUUGCCAUCAUUUAGUUGGGCACUCUAAGGUGACUGCCGGUGACAAACCGGAGGAAGGUGGGGAUGACGUCAAAUCAUCAUGCCCCUUAUGACCUGGGCUACACACGUGCUACAAUGGACGGUCAAACGGUUGCCAACCCGGCAGGGGGGAGCUAAUCCGGAUAAAACCCGUUCUCAGUUCGGGUUNUAGGCUGCAACCCGCCUACA